UGACACCUUAAAAGUUUCAGAUGGACUAGGUUGUCUUUGAGGUUUCAUAGGAAACAUUAUCUGGCAUAAAGCAAGGGAUAAAGCUUCCUGAAACAAAAAGGAAAAUAGUAUUAAAUUUAACAGUCUGUCACUGUCAUGAAAGUAGUCUAAUUAAAAAAGCUUAAACUUUGAGAGGGGGGAAACAAAAUAGAGAAGUGUGGUAGAAUUCUUUUUAAUAUAAAAAAACAAACCCUGUAGUUUGGAUCAGUUCAUUGUCCAUUCAGCGAGUGCAAAUUCCCCAAAACUUCCUAGGCACAGUCAGCUAUUUCAUAUGUUCAGCCAAACAUAGUAUGGCUGCUAGAUUAGAAACUCUAAAAUAAAUCAGAAUUUGUAUAUGCCUUAUUUUAAAUCUUUCCUUGUUCAGUAGUUUAACUUUUAAGCCCUAGCAGUGUAGAUGAAGCCCUCAGUCCAAACCAAUAUACAGUACUGAUCAAAGCAGCCAUUGGUGAUAACGUUACAUUUUAUUGCAGAGCUAAUUAUAUAUAAUGAAAGGUCUCCACAAAUCAGUCUGAGUGCAACUGCAUUUUGAGAUUCACCAUUGUCAUUUGCUCUUAAGUUUUUACUCUAUAAAAAAGGCCCUUUUCAAGGCUGACAGGACCAAAACUUGACGUACACUUUUUUCCUCUCUGCAGCACCUGAGUAUUCAUGAGCAACCACUCAGUAAUUCUGAACGUGUGAUGAAAGAAAAUAACAUUUGAUACCAAUAAUAGACAAGGCUGCUUACAGAGUAAAAGUGAAGACUAAGUGUAAAUAUACUCUGAGGACCUGCGGCAUGGCCAUAACUGCUAGAUGAAUGCUUUGGCUGACAAUCUGAGACCCCAGGAAGAGGGGCAUGGAGGUGGCAGAGACCAAGUUCCAGCCUGAGCCUCUAUGCUGCAAUUUUUAUCCCCACAGCUAGAACUCAAGCUAGCUGUUCUGGGACCCUGUGCCAUGGGAUUUCUUACUGGAGUGUAGACAUCCCAACUGUAUUGGGAGAGUUUGCUCUCAGACCAUACAGUAUUUCAGCACUGAACAUUUUUUUAUUAGUAUUUGUACCCUAAACCUCUACAACACUUUUGGCCACUCUGGGGAUGUGCUGCACUUGUGCUUUCCAUUAGUAUGCAAGAUGGGCUAGAUAUUGCAUUUCAUACCCACAGAGAACUUGCUAAGUUUUAAUUCACCACAGCCUCCCCUCAGCAUCAUCCCAGCAGAUGCAGGGUCUUCUUACCUUGCAAAAUAUGCUGGCCUAUCAUGGCAGCUCUCUAUUGAUGGAGAAGAGGCCAGGUCCAUAUAUACCCAUAAGUUCUUUGCUACUGACCUGACUCUGUCUCAGUUCCCCUAUUUGAUAGUAUGACUUUCAUAGAACUACACGGAUAGGGUCUUCUCCUGGCUAUAACCCCUAAAAGCGGGCUCGGGGGAAGUUGAUACAACUUUAAGGUAUAUUAAAUCUUUGCUAAGUAAUUUCUGCAGGGCCAGAGAGCAAAUGAGUUGCAUGUUUUUCCCCUCAGACUCACAGAGCAUGGAAGGUGUAGGCUCAGGGUCAUUGAACCCCUUUUGCACAUGGCAGUUUUAGAGCAUGAUGUCUGCAUGUUUGGGUUUCAGAUAGUUAAGUAUCCUAUAUGAACCACAUUUGCUACCUUGUAAAUGAAGUUAGUAAAAACCCUUUGUUCUUUAAGUUGUCAUAGUGUAAAUGCACAGCACAAACAUCUUUUUUAGGAGAGAAAAAAUUAGAGAAACUCGUUUGACUCAUUUACCUAUUUUAUAUGUAUUUUAUGCACAGUUCUGGACUCUGUCUCAUUUAGAAAUUAACUUUUGAGAUUUCUCUCAUCCCAGAUUUUUAUAAGCAAUGUUUAACAGCCAGAUACUUUCCUUUAUUAAAAAUGGUUUUCUUCGGUAUGUCCAAUUUUAUAUAACACUAAAAUUAAUUUCUUCGUUUUCUUAAAUAUUAAUUGCAGUAAAAUUAGUUGAGCAUGAUUAACGUAGCGGGAAGGAUACCACAAAACUACAGGAUACCACAAACUAGCGGGAAGGAUACCACAAAACCAUUAACAUCUACCAAGUUUUCAAUGAGCUGCUGCCAAUAUUUUGACAAAGAAAUCCCCCCAAAAUCCACUUCCCACUUAGCCUGCUGUGAAGCCUGUGUAGCUGAGUGUGUGCUUGCAGAGAAUAGGAAUGAAGGACAAGGGAAGAUAGUUAUGCAUUUUUCCAUUAAAACAAAGAUAAUCGUAACCAAGAAGGGAGAGAAUUCAACCUGCAAUAAUACAAGGAGGAGAAAGGCUCAAGAAGAACAGAUGAUUCACCUAUCUUACAGUCUGUUCCAUACUAGAGAAAUUCAUGAAAAUAAGUCACCUUUGACUCAUCAGAAAGGUUUGUUUUUAUGCAAUAAAGUACUGUAUAUUGCCAUUUGUCAUUCUACUGGGAAUUUAAAAAAAAUCAGAUUAGUUACUGUAUAUUACAUGUACAUUGUCAGAUAUUGGACAUUUUAUAUUAUUAUAGCUUCAGUCUCCUGUAUUCCUGCUAACCAUCCUUAAAAAUUCAGUCACAAAGGAAAUCCUAGCUUAUCUAAUUUAUCUUGUAAAUGGGAUUUGCAAACUCACUUUUAUUUUCUUUAUACA